rnacentral:lncRNA from 1 species
UAGCACGAUUCCUAGCUUACCCUUUCUCUUUGGUAAACAAUUGAUGAAUAAAUGAAUAAAUCAGUGAACAUCUAUGCAGGGCAAACCCAGGCAAACGUUUGCAGAGUUAGUUGAAGAUAUUUUAAUGAUUCCAAGUAAUUGGAUGCCAUUUAGAAAAAUAACAUUAAAUGUUUUAUUUCAUGAAAGACAAAGUUCAUUAAAAUCAGAAAAUUUUAAUUAUUUAGAUAAUUCGAAUUCUGAAAAGAGCCAGUACUGAUAACUUGGGUCAAGAUUAUUUUUCCCUUCAUUUUACUUGGUCAGAAUCAAGGACUUAAAUUACUUGCAAAAAAUGACCUAACUUACUGUUUGCUUUUGGCUAUAUGCUACAUGGUACAAACUGAGAAAAUAAAGCCUAAACAUUUUAGUGCAAUAUAUCUGUAUUUCUGAUCACUUAGAUUUUUGUCACGGUUUAGAAACAGUCAGGCCAUGAGAGACUCUCCCAGAAUUUUCAGGAUUAUUUUUAACGAUAACCCUAGGGUGGAUAACUAUCUACUGAGUCAAUCCUUCGAUCAAUAAGUGUUUGCUGAGCUCUUGCUAAAUGCACAGUUACUGUGUUAAGCAUUACAAAGAACAUGGUAACUUGUAUGAAUGUACCUUCCAUAACUGUCACCAUCUACAUGGAUUAACAAAAACAACAGAUGUGGAAUAAAUAGGAAACGGUAGAAAAGAUAUAGUUAUGGUCUUUAGGAAUUGCUACAACCUUAAAAAAUAAAGCAAGAGACUGUUGUCAUUUUCUGCUUGUAUCAGGACUAGGUUAGGUGUCUGUACUAUGCUUGAAUUUAGUUGUUACCAACUUAUUUAAUUCAACUUACCGGAACUUAAUAGUACAAGUCUCCAUAAAGCAGGAAAAAUUCACUAAGACUCUGUCCUCACCUGAGCUCAAUGGAGGGUCUUGAGCUGUGGCCUGAACUUGUGUCUGCCUGAAGGUGUCUCCUCCAUCAGUCUGGUCCCAGAAGACAUCUUUCAGUUUACUACACAGUUUAAAAGCAGGAGGCAGUGGACUGUGAAAAGGCUAACAUUUCUGCAGGAGAGAAAUCUGCCUGACAGAUAAACAUCCCUCUAGCCUUUCCUAAGCCCUAUUUGUAAAGAAAGCUUGAUGGAAAGGGAAAUCUGUAAGACGUCAAGGAGAAACAGUAGAGCGUUAGAAUCAAUAGGAGGCAUCCUUAUUCCCAUCUCAGGAAAUCCAGAGAUCUGUGUGUUCUUAUUUCAGAAGGCUGGCAUCCAAGAAUGUCACAUGGUGACUUGUAAUUACCAGAGCCCCGAAGGACACCAUAGGGCAGUGCAAAAAGCAUGAGACUGGGAAUCAAGUGACGUGGGUUAUAUUCUCAGCCCUGUCAAGGACUAGCUAUGUGACCUUGGGCAAGACACUUCAGCCUUGGCUGUGUGAUGCAGAUUGUUUUACCCACCUGACUAAACUUUUGUAAGAAUAGAAUGAGAUCAAGUAUGUAAAAGCACUCCACACAGUGCUUGGCACAAGCACAUAGUUAAGAAUUGAAACUACAGUUAAAGCUAAAGACCUCUUCUGUGCAUGAGCAUGCUGCCUGGGUGGGUGGUUGCAGGAAGACUAGGAAGUUCUUCCCAGCAGCCCCCCCUCUCAUUACUAUGGUACACUCCCUGGUAUGUUCCCAGGGCAUAGAAGUUCUCUGCUGAUUGCUUAAAUAUAUUAAGAAGGGACCUACUGUUUCACCCCUCAUGGAGAAGAUUAAGAAUAGGAAACAGUGUGGCCAUAUAGCACAAGGCAAAAGGUAAAACUCCAACUGCAGGUUCUGGGCUAGAAUCUAGAAUCCCUGUUCAGCUACUGCUUAGCUGUAUGAAUUUACAACUGAGUUUUUUUUAACCUCAGUUUCCCUAUCUGUAAAAUGAAAAAGGAUAGAAAUGUGGGGUAGAACAGGAAAACUGGACUAAGCUGCAAAAGGAGAAGGAAAGGUAACUGCGUACUGAGCCUGCCUGGCUCAGUGGAUGUUCUCUCUGCCCAUGAGACAUACAGCCUUGAUUGACCUCGACAUUCAAUUGACCUUGAAUGUCCCAGGAUGCACAGACUCAUUAGUAGCUUGUGAUAAUUGUCCUGGAAUCUCUCCGCUCUUCCUUUCCCUCUCUUUUUCUAAGUCUGUUCUUCCUUCUAUAUAUAUGAGGUGCCCAGGGUGCCUUAUAGAAGCCCAAGAGCUCACCCCUGCAUCCCUCACUUAU